rnacentral:rRNA from 1 species
UAUCUAAUCCUGUUUGCUCCCCACGCUUUCGCACCUCAGUGUCAGUAUCAGUCCAGGUGGUCGCCUUCGCCACUGGUGUUCCUUCCUAUAUCUACGCAUUUCACCGCUACACAGGAAAUUCCACCACCCUCUACCGUACUCUAGCUUGCCAGUUUUGGAUGCAGUUCCCAGGUUGAGCCCGGGGCUUUCACAUUCAACUUAACAAACCACCUACGCGCGCCUUACGCCCAGUAAUUCCGAUUAACGCUUGCACCCUCUGUAUUACCGCGGCUGCUGGCACAGAGUUAGCCGGUGCUUAUUCUGUCGGUAACGUCAAAACAGCAAGGUAUUCGCUUACUGCCCUUCCUCCCAACUUAAAGUGCUUUACAAUCCGAAGACCUUCUUCACACACGCGGCAUGGCUGGAUCAGGCUUUCGCCCAUUGUCCAAUAUUCCCCACUGCUGCCUCCCGUAGGAGUCUGGACCGUGUCUCAGUUCCAGUGUGACUGAUCAUCCUCUCAGACCAGUUACGGAUCGUCGCCUUGGUGAG